rnacentral:lncRNA from 1 species
CUCUUUUCUUCCGGGCCAUCAUGGGGUGUGGUGCGCGCCCCCCCAGCUCGCCGCGUGCUCGUCCUUUGCGCGCGUCGCCGUCGGCACGUUGCCACCCGUCUCUUCCGAGUAUGUCCGGCCGCUCGGCUCUACGUGGCGUGGGAGUGGCGCCAGAAUUCAAACGAACAGCCGCAGUUGUAGGCGAGGUCACCGCCUGCUUUGAGCCAAGUCGGCUAGGACUCUCCGUGGCUGGGAGCGGCCUUUACGCGCGGCCCGUGGAGGAGCCUGGCUGGCCCGGUGGCCGGUGCUGCGCUUGGUCCGCGGCGGCGCAGCUGAAUGGACGUCGGCGGACAGUACUAAGACGGUGAAAACCGGAAAGCCCUACGUUUAUCCUUCGUGCACCCUGCGGGUACCGUAUGUCAGCAGAAGGCCACGCUGUCGCGUUCACGCCACCCAACUCCUGUUCAGGCACCCAGCCAGGUCCAGUCCCCCUCACCCCCCCAUUACAGUGUCACUAGUGACAGUUAUUCGCUGACAAUCUUGGGAAGAUACACACUCCAUUUCACAGAAAGGAGGAAGCAGGUCAAAAGCCUCCAGUUGGCCUAAGGUCACACAGCUAGCUAUCCUUGGCUAUUUUCAAGUUUUCUUUCUACUAAAUAAAAAAAAUAAAAAAUAAAAAGAAUAUGGGGCUGGAGACAUAGCUCAGCGGUUAAGGGCACUGGCUGUUCUUCCAUAGGUCCCAAGUUCAAUUCCCAGCUACCACAAGAUGGCUCACAACCAUCCUUGCUGAGAUCUGGUAUCCUCUUCUGGCAUGCAUGCAUAUACAUGCAUGCAGAACACUGUAUACAUAAUAAAUCUUUAGAAAGAAUAAUUCUAACGUCAAAGUUAAUAUUAAAAAAUAAUUCUUCAGGGGCUGGAGAGAUGGCUCAGAGGUUAAGAGCGCUGACUGCUCUUCCAGAGGUCCUGAGUUCAGUUCCCAGCAACCACAUGGUGGCUCACAACCAUCUGUUAUGAGAUCUGGUGCCCUCUUCUGGUGUGCAGAUAUACAUGGAAGCAGAAUGUUGUAUACAUAAUAAAUAAAUAAAAUCUAAAAAAAAAAAAAAAGGUGUGUACCACCACCACCAAGCCCCACUUUAUUUUACAACCCAUAGGCCCACUUGCUCUGGCUGGUCAAUCUCUCAUUCAAACUCUCUUCCCAGGUAAUCCUAGGCUGAGUCAAGCUGACAAUUCAAAUUACCACACUAUUUAAAAUCAAAGAGUCAAGAGGAAAUGCAACAGCUUACUUUACCAAGAUGGCUCCUAAUUGAUACUUGACAGGUGCCCACUGAGAUUCCCAACUGAAAAAUCUCAACUGAAUUCUCGAUAAGUAAAGGCCUUGAAAUCGGG